rnacentral:tRNA from 1 species
CGGAACGUAGCUUAGUGGCAGAGCAACUGUACUAAUCAGAAAUUGACUGAUAAAGUCAAUAGUGGUGGUUCGAAUCCACUCGUUCCGU